rnacentral:lncRNA from 1 species
GUCAAAAAUGAAAGUGGCCGCAUCCGUGUUCAUCCUAAUCCUUUAUAUAUGUUAUGUAUUAUCAUCAAAUACAACUUACAUUUCAAUAUUAUGACUGAACACGAAUGCUGUCACUUUCAUUUAAAUAAAGGCAACAGUAGUAUACCGCUGUUCAAAACUCAUAAAUCUAUGGACAAAAAACAAAAUCGGGGUAACAAACUAAAACUGAGGGAACCGCAUUAAAUAUUCAAAGUUGUACAGCUCUGAGGAUCAAAAGUUGAAAAGGUUGUGCCAUAUACGGCUAGGGUUUUCUGCUUGUGAUAAGAACAUCCUUAUUAUAUAGAACAAUGUAUGCUAUUGCAAACAGUAAAUUUAAGACGGAAAUCGUCUAAAAUUUUCUUAAAACGUUAAAAUUGUGAAGAUUUCAGUAAUUUAGCAUGACUAAAUGAUGUUAGUACCCAAUAUAUGUGCAUUGUAUUGUUAAAAACAGCCCAUAUUUGUUUAGCUGAAGCAUUCUACUUUGCAAUAAAUAGUAAAAGAUAAGAUUUUCACAUUUUGUAAAACUGCUAUAUUUUGAGGCCAAAAAGAGGUCUUUAGAUGAGGCUUGUUCUGUCCUUUUCAAUGAUUUGAAAUACAGUCGUGUGUUAUUCAGUUAACCCAAAUCAAUCAAAUGAGUUAACUUGGGAUCCUGAUGAAAUUACAAAAUAUAAACAAUAGCUGCAUAUUUUCUUAAGCAUCAAACAGAUAUUCUAAAUUCAGCACUUUAUCCACAAUGGAAUAUGUAUAAAAGCUUCCAAUCAUAUAUUGAUAAAUAAGUGAAUUCAUUAUGGGAAAGUUAAUAGUAAAUUUUUAGUGAUCUGUUAGCAUGAAAUUCUGUGUUAUUGAUGAGAAGACACUUGCGUAAACAUCCUAAGGUAUAUCAUAUCAUUAAUAAAAGACAGAAUAAAAUAUUUAUAACGGAGUCAGAUGUUAUUUUGUGGCUUACUGAUGUAACAAGAAGGGUAUGAAGAUGAAAUCUCAUCAAUAUAUAUAUGUUUGUGAUCAUUCCCUGUUUUCUAGGAGC